rnacentral:lncRNA from 1 species
UAUUCUGAUUGCUAUGGAAAGCUAACUCAAACACGGUUGUUAUGGUCCCGGUUUCAUAAGUUAUGAACGAGAAUUGUGGCCAGUAGGUAUUUUUGAAAUUGGAACUCUGAUGCUGAUAUUAUGCAGAAAAAUCUGCACACGAGUUUGGAGUAGUUUCGUUGCAAAUUCCGCUUUUCGAUGAGUUUCGGAAAUGUCGGUGGUACUGUUCAAGCUUCGAUUUCAGGUGGGUUCCCUUAGAGCCUUAAACUCUAGUUAGUUUAGCUCCAUUAGUUUCCCCAAAUAAAAUAAAUGCAUGAUAACAAUAGUUCAGUUAGAAUAUCAGUUCCCCAAUUUAUCAAUUGCAUGACAAUACUAGGAUUUAAGGAAUUUAUUGAGUGAGAAUGGUUAAAUUCCCAAACUAUUCUCCGUUCUGAAUAUAUGGACUAAUUAUAGUGUCUGAAAUUAGGAAAAUAUGGAUUGUAGGUGAUUAUUGGCUUGAUUUCUCAGAAAAAUGCAAACAGGGUUCGGUACUGAUGUACUCGCUUAGCGAGGAAUGACUUCGUUGGGCGAGAGUGUCAAAAUAGAACACUGCAGAAUUUUACUUUAAUUGCUAAGUCACUCGUUUAUAUUCCUAUUCUUCCUGAUGUAUUUCUGUAGACACUAUAACAUCGUUACAUAUUUAGAAUGUUAAUCACACCUCAGGAAAUUAAGUAUCAGGAAUCAGGACAGUUUAUAGAUACCCUGGGAGGGAAUUCAUGGGCAGGAUAACAAUCAGGAUUAUUA